rnacentral:lncRNA from 1 species
GUUGUUGUGCCAAUGUGGUAGCAUCAUUAGGCUAGGGUUAGAAGAUACAAAAUGAAUGAUAUCUCGGGAUAUUCACGAGACACUAUACCUCUCCCCACUUUAUAAGUGACUCUACAACGAGUUUGAGCCUCUCCAACUAACCAAACUAACUCCCUCACUAAUAGAAACCUAAGUAAUCACUAAUGGGUAUCUUUCAGCC